ensembl:misc_RNA Y_RNA Y RNA
AGCUGGUCCGAAAGUAGUGUUUUCUCAGUUGGCUGUUCACAAUCAGUUACAGAUCAAACUUCUUGUUCUACUAUUUCCCCCCUUGACUAGUUGUUA